AUUGAACGCUGGCGGCAGGCCUAACACAUGCAAGUCGAGCGGAUGAAGGGAGCUUGCUCCUGGAUUCAGCGGCGGACGGGUGAGUAAUGCCUAGGAAUCUGCCUGGUAGUGGGGGAUAACGUCCGGAAACGGGCGCUAAUACCGCAUACGUCCUGAGGGAGAAAGUGGGGGAUCUUCGGACCUCACGCUAUCAGAUGAGCCUAGGUCGGAUUAGCUAGUUGGUGGGGUAAAGGCCUACCAAGGCGACGAUCCGUAACUGGUCUGAGAGGAUGAUCAGUCACACUGGAACUGGGACGCGGUCCAGACUCCUACGGGAGGCAGCAGUGGGGAAUAUUGGACAAUGGGCGAAAGCCUGAUCCAGCCAUGCCGCGUGUGUGAAGAAGGUCUUCGGAUUGUAAAGCACUUUAAGUUGGGAGGAAGGGCAGUAAGUUAAUACCUUGCUGUUUUGACGUUACCAACAGAAUAAGCACCGGCUAACUUCGUG
rnacentral:rRNA from 1 species